rnacentral:rRNA from 1 species
GAUGAACGUUGGCGGCGUGCCUAAUACAUGCAAGUCGAACGAAGACUGUAGUAAUACUGUCUUAGUGGCGAACGGGUGAGUAACGCGUGGGUGACCUGCCCCGAAGUGUGGGAUAACAGUCCGAAAGGAUUGCUAAUACUGCAUAAUAUCCAAGAGAUUAGAUGCUUUUGGAUUAAAGGAGUAAUUCGCUUCGGGAGGGGCCCGCGUCCCAUCAGCUAGUUGGUAAGGUAAUGGCUUACCAAGGCGAUGACGGGUAGGGGACCUGAGAGGGUGGCCCCCCACAAUGGAACUGAAACACGGCCCAGACUCCUACGGGGGGCAGCAGUGGGGGAUCUUGCACAAUGGGCGAAAGCCUGAUGCAGCGACGCCGCGUGAGCGAAGAAGGCCUUCGGGUUGUAAAGCUCUGUCUGGAGGGACGAACAAAUGACGGUACCUCCGGAGGAAGCCACGGCUAACUACGUG